CAGCAGCCGCGGUAAUACGUAGGUGGCAAGCGUUGUCCGGAAUUAUUGGGCGUAAAGGGCUCGCAGGCGGUUUCUUAAGUCUGAUGUGAAAGCCCCCGGCUCAACCGGGGAGGGUCAUUGGAAACUGGGAAACUUGAGUGCAGAAGAGGAGAGUGGAAUUCCACGUGUAGCGGUGAAAUGCGCAGAGAUGUGGAGGAACACCAGUGGCGAAGGCGACUCUCUGGUCUGUAACUGACGCUGAGGAGCGAAAGCGUGGGGAGCGAACAGGAUUAGAUACCCGCGUAGUCCCUGUCUCUUAUAC
rnacentral:rRNA from 1 species